rnacentral:rRNA from 1 species
UACGAAGGGUGCUAGCGUUGUUCGGAAUCAUUGGGCGUAAAGCGUGCGUAGGCGGCUUGGCAAGUCAAGUGUGAAAUCCCGGGGCUUAACCUCGGAAUUGCGCUUGAAACUGCUUUGCUAGAGUAUGAAGAGGGAUAGUGGAAUUCCUAGUGUAGGGGUGAAAUCCGUAGAUAUUAGGAGGAACACCGGUGGCGAAAGCGACUAUCUAUAUCAUUACUGACGCUGUUGCACGAAAGCGUGGGGAGCAAACAGG